UGGGGAAUAUUGGGCAAUGGGGGAAACCCUGACCCAGCAACGCCGCGUGAAGGAAGAAGGCUUUCGGGUUGUAAACUUCUUUUACCAGGGACGAAGGACGUGACGGUACCUGGAGAAAAAGCAACGGCUAACUACGUGCCAGCAGCCGCGGUAAUACGUAGGUUGCAAGCGUUGUCCGGAUUUACUGGGUGUAAAGGGCGUGUAGGCGGAGAAGCAAGUUGGGAGUGAAAUCCAUGGGCUCAACCCAUGAACUGCUCUCAAAACUGUUUCCCUUGAGUAUCGGAGAGGCAAGCGGAAUUCCUAGUGUAGCGGUGAAAUGCGUAGACAUUAGGAGGAACACCAGUGGCGAAGGCGGCUUGCUGGACGACAACUGACGCUGAGGCGCGAAAGCGUGGGGAGCAAACAGGAUUAGAUACCC
rnacentral:rRNA from 1 species